rnacentral:rRNA from 1 species
UUUUCCGGUUGAUCCUGCCAGAGGCUACUGCUAUCGGGGUUCGAUUAAGCCAUGUGAGUUAAAUGUUCUUUGUGAACAUAGCGAACUGCUCAGUAACACGUGGAUAACCUACCCUUAGGACCGGAAUAACCCCGGGAAACUGGGGAUAAUACCGGAUAAGCCAUAGACGCUGGAAUGCCCUAUGCUUCAAAGCUCCGGCGCCUAAGGAUGGAUCUGCGGUCUAUCAGGUUGUAGUGGGUGUAACGUACCUACUAGCCGACGACGGAUACGGGUUGUGAGAGCAAGAGCCCGGAGAUGGAUUCUGAGACACGAAUCCAGGCCCUACGGGGUGCAGCAGGCGCGAACACUUUACAAUGCGGGAAACCGCGAUAAGGGAACCCCGAGUGCCAGCAUCAAAUGUUGGCUGUCCAGAUGAUUAAAAAUCAUUUGUUAGCAAGGGCCGGGCAAGACCGGUGCCAGCCGCCGCGGUAACACCGGCGGCCCGAGUGGUAGCCGUUUUUAUUGGGUCUAAAGGGUCCGUAGCCGGCUUGAUAAGUCCUUUGGGAAAUCUGGCAGCUUAACUGUCAGGCUUCUAAGGGAUACUGUCAGGCUUGGGACCGGUAGAGGUAAGGGGUACUCCAGGGGUAGGAGUGAAAUCUUGUAAUCCCUGGGGGACCAUCUGUGGCGAAGGCGCCUUACCAGAACGGGUCCGACGGUGAGGGACGAAAGCUAGGGGAGCAAACCGGAUUAGAUACCCGGGUAGUCCUAGCUGUAAACGAUGCUCGCUAGGUGUCAGACACGGUGCGACCGUGUUUGGUGCCGCAGGGAAGCCGUUAAGCGAGCCACCUGGGAAGUACGGUCGCAAGGCUGAAACUAAAGGAAUGGCGGGGCAGCAACUACAAAGCAAGAAAGAGC